UGGUGACUAUAGUGUAAUGGUACCACCUGAUCCCAUUUCGAACUCAGAAGUGAAACGUUAUUACGCCGAUGAUAGUGCGGCUUGACCGUGCAAAAGUAGGUCAUUA
rnacentral:rRNA from 1 species